rnacentral:rRNA from 1 species
GAUGAACGCUGGCGGCGUGCUUAACACAUGCAAGUCGAACGGAAAGGCCUGCUUUCCCUUGUGGAUUGCGGGUACUCGAGUGGCGAACGGGUGAGUAACACGUGAGUGAUCUGCCCCCAACUUGGGUAUAAGCCUGGGAAACUGGGUCUAAUUCCCGAUAGGACUGCAGGGUGGUGCCUGUGGUGGAAAACGAUUUUCUAGUGGUUGGGGAUGAGCUCGCGGCCUAUCAGCUUGUUGGUGGGGUAAUGGCCUACCAAGGCGGCGACGGGUAGCCGGCCUGGGAGGGUGGACGGCGAAAUGAGGACUGGGAUACGGGCCAGAGUCCGGCGGGAGGCAGCAGUGGGGAAUAAUGCACGAUGGGCGGAAGCCUGAAGCAGCGACGAGGCGUGGGGGAUGACGGCCUGCGGGUUGUAAACUCCUUUCGACCGCGAGGAAGCCACCUGGUGGGAAGGGUGGUGACGGUAGUGGUAGAAGAAGCACCGGCUAACUACGU